CAGUCGCCACGGGAAUACGGAGGGUGCAAGCGUUAAUCGGAAUUACUGGGCGUAAAGCGCACGCAGGCGGUCUGACAAGUCAGAUGUGAAAUCCCCGGGCUUAACCUGGGAACUGCAUUCGAUACUGGGAAGCUAGAGUAUGGGAGAGGAUGGUAGAAUUCCAGGUGUAGCGGUGAAAUGCGUAGAGAUCUGGAGGAAUACCGAUGGCGAAGGCAGCCAUCUGGCCUAAUACUGACGCUGAGGUACGAAAGCAUGGGGAGCAAACAGGAUUAGAUACCCGUGUAGUCCCUGUCUCUUAUAC
rnacentral:rRNA from 1 species